rnacentral:rRNA from 1 species
ACAGCAGCCGCCGCGGUAAUACGGAGGGUGCAAGCGUUAAUCGGAAUUACUGGGCGUAAAGCGCACGCAGGCGGUCUGACAAGUCAGAUGUGAAAUCCCCGGGCUUAACCUGGGAACUGCAUUUGAAACUGUCAGGCUGGAGUCUUGUAGAGGGGGGUGGAAUUUCAGGUGUAGCGGUGAAAUGCGUAGAGAUCUGGAGGAAUACCGGUGGCGAAGGCGGCCCCCUGGACAAAGACUGACGCUCAGGUGCGAAAGCGUGGGGAGCAAACAGGAUUAGAUACCCCGGUAGUCCCUGUCUCUUAUAA